UGGCCCUGGGAUGGGGAACCGCGGUGGCUUCCGCGGAGGUUUCGGCAGUGGCAUCCGGGGCCGGGGUCGCGGCCGGGGACGGGGCCGGGGCCGAGGCCGCGGAGCUCGCGGAGGCAAGGCCGAGGAUAAGGAGUGGAUGCCCGUCACCAAGUUGGGCCGCUUGGUCAAGGACAUGAAGAUCAAGUCUCUGGAGGAGAUCUAUCUCUUCUCCCUGCCCAUUAAGGAAUCAGAGAUCAUUGACUUCUUCCUGGGGGCCUCUCUCAAGGAUGAGGUUUUGAAGAUUAUGCCAGUGCAGAAGCAGACCCGUGCCGGCCAGCGCACCAGGUUCAAGGUACCCUGUCCUGGAGGGGGCUGUCCUGGGCUGGGCUUGCCGGGACUCUCUCAGCUCUGCAUAGUUGCACUUGGCUUCACCCGUGUGACUUUCGUAACCAGGAGAGAGAGAAAAGAUCUCCUCAGGACCUCGGAUGGGCCUUAUCGUGGCCUCUCUUUCCUUGAGGGGCGCAACAGCCCUUGGGCGGUGGGCAGUGAUUGGGUGUAGGGCCACCAGCUGCCUCACGCACAUCUCUUCACAGGCGUUUGUUGCUAUCGGGGACUACAAUGGCCACGUCGGUCUGGGUGUUAAGUGCUCCAAGGAGGUGGCCACCGCCAUCCGUGGGGCCAUCAUCCUGGCCAAGCUCUCCAUUGUCCCCGUGCGCAGAGGCUACUGGGGGAACAAGAUCGGCAAGCCCCACACCGUCCCUUGCAAGGUAGGCUGGUGGCAGGUGAUGGGCCUGCCGUGGGGCAGGCUCCUUCGGGCCCCCAUCUCCUGACUCCUUCCCUCACCAGGUGACAGGCCGCUGCGGCUCUGUGCUGGUGCGCCUCAUCCCUGCACCCAGGGGCACUGGCAUCGUCUCCGCACCUGUGCCUAAGAAGCUGCUCAUGAUGGCUGGUAUCGACGACUGCUACACCUCAGCCCGGGGCUGCACUGCCACCCUGGGUAACUUCGCCAAGGCCACCUUUGAUGCCAUUUCUAAGACCUACAGCUACCUGACCCCUGACCUCUGGAAGGAGACUGUAUUUACCAAGUCUCCCUAUCAGGAAUUCACUGACCACCUCGUCAAGACCCACACCAGAGUCUCUGUGCAGCGGACUCAGGCUCCAGCUGUGGCUACAACAUAGGAUUUUUAUACAAGAAAAAAUAAAGUGAAUUAAGUGUG
rnacentral:sRNA from 1 species